AUUGAACGCUGGCGGCAGGCCUAACACAUGCAAGUCGAGCGAGCGGCGGACGGGUGAGUAAUGUAUGGGUAUCUGCCUGAUCGAGGGGGAUAACUAAUGGAAACGGUCGAUAAUACCGCCUACGCUCGGCUGGACCCAGAUGGGAUUAGCUAGUAGGUUGGGUAAUGGGUAACCGAGGCGACGAUCCCUCGCUGGGCUGAGAGGAUGAUCAGCCACACUGGAACUGAGACACGGCCCAGACUCCGACGGGAGGCAGCAGUGGGGAAUAUUGCACAAUGGGGGAAAGCCUGAUGCAGCCAUGCCGCGUGUAUGAAGAAGGCCUUAGGGUUGUAAAGUACUUUCAGCGGGGAGGCGUUACCGUCAGAAGAAGCACCGGCUAACUCCGUGCCAGCCGCCGCGGUAAUAC
rnacentral:rRNA from 1 species